UUAAUUAUGUGGUCUUUCCGAAAUAGAAUGCUUUUAGGCAAGAGUCACAUCCAAAAUCACACAACAAGACAUUCAUGCCUUGAAUAUCUGUACUGUGCUACCUGACUUACCACAUCUAAACGCCUGAGAAUUUGGAUAGGAGAAAAUAUUGGAGGAGGAGGCAACUCUGCCCUGCAGGAGAACCAGUCCUACUGAUGGUUUCUUCUUCCUUUUGAGAAAGUAGAGGUGGAAAAGCACGGAGUUGGGAAGAUGGAAGAGAAAAGGAGGGCUGCAUCAGCUGUUAACCAAGAGGAGACAGAGAAAAAGGAGUCCUUCUAUUCUGGUCAUGCAGAAAUUGAUAAACAUUUCUA